AUGUGUACGACGAGCGGCUCUCCCUCUGCGGUGAUGGUGGCGAGGCAGGGUCGCCGUCUGCGCGAGGCCCGGGAAGAGACCGGCGACGCGGGGGCGACGCUGGGCUGGUGGAUGCGCGAGCGCCUCCUCCGUCCAGCAGGGGUGGCUCUGGGCCGACGAACUCGGCGGCCUCUCCGCCGAUUGGCUGCACCGACGAACCAUCCGGAGAGAGCGGAAGACCGAGGAGGCCGCCGGCAGCGCGCAGGAGUCGCUCGCUGGCGACGGCGAAGAUGGCGGAUCUCGCCGGAAACGGAGGGGGUGGAGCGGGAGAGGUCACGUCGGAGGGGAUGA
rnacentral:rRNA from 1 species